UUUUUCAAACAUAGAAACCAAAAUACACUUGGCUCGUUUUUCAUUCACUCACGAAACAAACAACGUCGUAGAAGCUCAUAUACCCUUGUCAACACUUUCAUUAUCAAAUCAAAUACCCAUUUCAUUCAUUCACUUUUCUCAGAAACAGAAGAAAAGAAAAACGGUUUCAGAAUUUUCUUCCGAUCUCCAACAAUGGCUCCAUUUCUUCGUUUCUUCGUUUCUCCUUUUCUCCCGCCAAAACCAAAAUCCGAUAACGCUGAAGCAAUCGUGAUGAACUUCGUCAAUGAGCAAAAUAGGCCGCUGAAUGCGUUGCAAAAGUUUAAUCCGAAGAAAACGGUGAUACAGAAAGCGUUGGAUACUCUUCAAAAUGAAGAGCUUAAUCAGAUGAAGAAAAAGAAUCCUGAUUUGCAGAAGCAGCUUGAGGAUAUUUGCGAGUUUGAAGCAGGUAUGGUUAAAAUGUUUUGGAAAUGUAAUUGAAUUGUGUGAUUUAAUUGAUUGAACUCGAUGCUGUUCGGUUACUAUGAAUUUUUUUAUAGUGGAGCAAACGAAGCUCAGCCAAAAAGGGAGGACCAUGGCUUCUUCUCCAAAUCUAGAGAGCUUAAAAUUGAUCUACACUCUGGUCCAAACCUAAGACGGAGCUGGUCAAUCUCCUCGGCUUCCUUCCAGGAAAUUUCAACUAUUGAUCUUGAAGAGGAGCGUUUGGUAAUAAGUUUACUAAGACAGAAGUUGCACUCUCAAGAGCUCAAGAUGUUGGAGAUGGAUGACCAUAUAAGCUGGCUUCAAAUGCAAUUAUCCAUAUUGAGGGGAGUGGUGGAAGAUAGAGAUCAACUGGAGGAGAAAUGGAUGCAAAGCCAAGAGGAGAUUAAGCUGUUAAUCUCAAAAAUCAAGCAACUACAGGAACACAUUGAUAUGCUUGAGGUUGAUCUGGAUUUUAAGGAUGGUCAAAUGUCGAUCUUGCAAGACGAGAUUCAAUUUUACAAGUAUAAUAUAGUUUAAGAUAGUUUGAGUUACGGUUUAGCGGACUUGGUGCUGGUUGUAGCGUGUUUCUGCUAUUGUGAAGUAGGCCUGCAUUUUACUUGCAUAUUUGGCUUAUUGUAUGGUCAUGUAUAAUGGCGAAAAGGUUAUUCUUAUUUUAAUUGAAUUAUAGGUGAUAUCCUGGAGUUAUAGUUAUUGGUACUCAGGACAAAGCUUGAUUCAUUCCUGGUCUUGGUUAUUUAGAGUUGUAGUCAGAUCAGAUAGGCUUAAUUUUAAUUAGUAGUUGGCUAUGACCCAUAAUUAAUGAGAAAAAGAAUCACUGAAGCUAUAUAUUUGAUUGUUAUUUUUUAAGAGAACAUGUAUGCUGAUGUCAUUUGUUAGAAACAUGAAUUUUUAUAAACUAUUCUAAUUUA